AUUGAACGCUGGCGGCAGGCCUAACACAUGCAAGUCGAGCGGAUGAGAGGAGCUUGCUUCUCGAUUCAGCGGCGGACGGGUGAGUAAUGCCUAGGAACCUGCCUGGUAGUGGGGGACAACGUUUCGAAAGGAACGCUAAUACCGCAUACGUCCUACGGGAGAAAGCAGGGGACCUUCGGGCCUUGCGCUAUCAGAUGAGCCUAGGUCGGAUUAGCUAGUUGGUGAGGUAAUGGCUCACCAAGGCGGCGAUCCGUAACUGGUCUGAGAGGAUGAUCAGUCACACUGGAACGGAGACACGGUCCAGACUCCUACGGGAGGCAGCAGUGGGGAAUAUUGGACAAUGGGCGAAAGCCUGAUCCAGCCAUGCCGCGUGUGGGAAGAAGGUCUUCGGAUUGUAAAGCACUUUAAGUUGGGAGGAAGGGUUGUAGAUUAAUACUCUGCAAUUUUGACGUUACCGACAGAAUAAGCACCGGCUAACUCUGUGCCAGCCGCCGCCGUAAGAC
rnacentral:rRNA from 1 species